UUAAAAUAUGCAAGUCUAAUUUUUAUUCUUUUAAAGAAGCUUAAAAUUGUGAAAACCCAAAAUUAAAAUGAAGAUAUUCUGCAAAUAUAUUCAGCUGCAUAAUUGUUCUAAAGUGUAGAAUUUAAGUUGCCGAUCCUGAGAUAAGAGAUAGCACAUUCACUGACCAAGCAAUUAAGACAGAGUUUUCUCAGCGUGAGGCUGGCCAGUUUCCAUGGUUAUUGUGAUAUCUGAUCUGUUGGGAUGGCCAAACCUGCUCCCAUUUAGCAUUUUGUAGGACAGAUCUAAACAGUCUGCUCAAUGUAUAGCCACAGUCAAGCGAAUAAAACAGAAAUGGAAUAUGUGCAAGCUGCCCCCUUCCAGUCGGACGAACUUUCAACUGACUUUGAAAUUUGAUGUUUUUGAAAACCAGUGUUUUAUUUGGAUGACUAUGAACAGAUGAAGACAUAAAUGAAGCAAAACAAACAGAAGAGAGUGAAUUAUUACUUUAUUCUAUUUUGGAGUAACUAAGUUUAAAAAGUGUGGAUAAAGAUUUACCCUGUGAACAUAUGCUAGCUAAAUAACGAACGGCCGUCAUUUAAUUUCAAGGAUUAUUUUUUAUCAUGGUUUGUGCACUCUGGAUUCAAAAUAAAUCCAUCAUUUAAAUUGU